rnacentral:rRNA from 1 species
CACAAGCGGAGGAGCAUGUGGUUUAAUUCGAUGAUACGCGAGGAACCUUACCUGGCUUGAAGUUAGUGACAUUCUGUGAAAGCAGAACUUCCGCAAGGACACGAAACUAGGUGCUGCAUGGCUGUCGUCAGCUCGUGCCGUGAGGUGUUGGGUUAAGUCCCGUAACGAGCGCAACCCCUAUCAUUAGUUGCCAUCAGGUCAUGCUGGGGACUCUAAUGAGACUGCCCGCGCAAGCGGUGAGGAAGGUGGGGACGACGUCAAGUCAUCACGGCCCUUACGUCCAGGGCUACACACGUGCUACAAUGGUAGAUACAGCAGGUUGCCACAUGGUAACAUGGAGCUAAUCCCAAAAGUCUAUCUCAGUUCGGAUUGAGGUCUGCAACUCGACCUCAUGAAGCUGGAUUCGCUAGUAAUCGAAAAUCAGCAAUGUUUCGGUGAAUACGUUCCCGGGCCUU